CGAGUGCUCCAAGCGUUAUCCGGAAUUAUUGGGCGUAAAGGGUGUGUAGGUCGUCUUGUUAGUCAGGUGUUAAAACUCCCCGCUCAACGGGGAAAGGGCAUUUGAAACGGCAAGACUAGAGGAUGCGAGGGGUCUGUAGAACUCAUGGUGUAGGGGUAAUAUCCGUUGAUAUCAUGGGGAAUACCAAAAGCGAAGGCAGCAGACUGGCGCAUUCCUGACACUGAAACACGAAAGCGUGGGUAGCGAAUGGGAUUAGAUACCCCAGUAGUCCACGCCCUAAACAAUCUUCUCUUGCUAUUCGGAGUAUCGACCCUCUGAGUGGCGAAGCAAACGCGUUAAGAGAAGCGCCUGGGUAGUACGGCCGCAAGGCUA
rnacentral:rRNA from 1 species